rnacentral:SRP_RNA from 1 species
GCGGCCAACCGGGUCAGGUCGGGAACGAAGCAGCCCUAACCGUUAGCUCUCAGUGCCGGGGUCGGGCUCGUCACC